GAUGAACGCUAGCGGCAGGCUUAACACAUGCAAGUCGAAGGGCAGCGCGGGAUAGCAAUAUCCUGGCGGCGACCGGCGGAAGGGUGCGUAACGCGUGAGCGACAUGCCCGUUGCCCGGGGACAACCGGUGGAAACGCCGACUAAUCCCCGAUGGGAUACGAUGCCUCAUGGCAUUGUAUUGAAAGUUACGGCGGCGACGGAUUGGCUCGCGUCCGAUUAGCUUGUUGGCGGGUAACGCCAACAAGGCUACGAUCGGUAGGGUUCUGAGAGGAAGGCCCCCCACAAUGGGACUGAGACACGGCCCAUACUCCUACGGGAGGCAGCAGUGAGGAAUAUUGGUCAAUGGGCGGAAGCCUGAACCAGCCAUGCCGCGUGCGGGAAGGAGGCCCUAUGGGCUGUGAACCGCUUUUGCCUGGGGGCAAGUAAGGGCGUCGCGCACGUCCGAUGAGAGUACCAGGCGAAUAAGCAUCGGCUAACUCCGUGCCAGCCGCCGCGGUAA
rnacentral:rRNA from 1 species